rnacentral:rRNA from 1 species
GACGAACGCUGGCGGCGUGCUUAACACAUGCAAGUCGAACGGAAAGGCCCUGCUUUUGUGGGGUGCUCGAGUGGCGAACGGGUGAGUAACACGUGAGUAACCUGCCCUUGACUUUGGGAUAACUUCAGGAAACUGGGGCUAAUACCGGAUAGGAGCUCCUGCUGCAUGGUGGGGGUUGGAAAGUUUCGGCGGUUGGGGAUGGACUCGCGGCUUAUCAGCUUGUUGGUGGGGUAGUGGCUUACCAAGGCUUUGACGGGUAGCCGGCCUCAGAGGGUGACCGGCCACAUGGGGACUGAGAUACGGACCAGACUCCUACGGGAGGCAGCAGGGGGGAAUAUUGCACAAUGGGAGGAAGCCUGAUGCAGAAACGCCGCGUGCGGGAUGACGGCCUUCGGGUUGUAAACCGCUUUCGCCUGUGACGAAGCGUGAGUGACGGUAAUGGGUAAAGAAGCACCGGCUAACUACGUG